rnacentral:tRNA from 1 species
GGAGGAGUGUGGCGAAUGGUAAGCCAGCGGUUUGCUAAACCGUAGCCGUGUAAAAAGCGGCUUGCGGGUUCGACUCCCGCCUCCUCCGCCA